GAAUGUCAAGGGCUGGCCCAUGUUUUUCUGUGCGCUUAUUUAAAAGUUGAGGGAAGUGGUUAGAAAUGCACAGGGCCCUGGUUUCUAUAUAUAGCACAACAAAGUAAUAAAUAUGUAAUGGGUAAAUAAACUAUCAAAGGCAGGAACAAGUCUUAAUGCCUCCUGGAGGGCCAUGUAUGGCAAAGUGCAAAACUGCACAGCAGUCCUUGGUAACUUACAGCCAAGUCUGUCUGGUUGCUGACAGCUGCUUAUCUUACAGCUGCUUCUGCAGCCUUGAGGCAUCUCAGUGUUGCUGUAAAACUCUGUACCUUUGGAGUAGAUAUGAGACCUGGAAUGCCGCUGUGGCCCCACUGUAGGUUGUGCUGGCUGACAGAGGCUGCGUGUAAUCCUGACGCACACACGAGGGCAGGAAGCUUUCUGCCUCUUUUUAUGCUUCUUUACUCCGUGUCUCACAGAUACAUCUGCACUCAUGAGUCAGACAAGAACUACUGUGUUUUUUUUUUUUUUUUUUUUAAAGAUUUAUUUAUUUAUUAUAUGUAAGUACACUGUAGCUGUCUUCAGACACACCAGAAGAGGGAGUCAGAUCUCGUUACGGAUGGUUGUGAGCCACCAUGUGGUUGCUGGGAUUUGAACUCUGGACCUUCGGAAGAGCAGUCAGGUGCUCUUACCCACUGAGCCAUCUCACCAGCCCACUGUGUUUUAUUUUAUUUUACUCAGGUUUUAGUGUAAGAGGCUAGGGAAAGCUUUGUGUACUUGUGGCAUUUGCUCCAUUUGGCAUGUGGAGCUUGAGCUGGGCGUUCUUAGGUUGCUGUUCCGUGACACAGUAAUAAGGCUCAGGAAAACAGCUCUUUUCCUUCUAGGAGAAAAAUUGAGGAUUUUCUUGUGCUUUAAAAAUAUUACAAUUUAAAGAAAAGACCUGUUAUGAAAUUGUGAUUUUUAUUCUUCUAAAAUGUUCUUAAAUCUAGAUAGAAAUUUGGACAUUGGUACAGUGUAGACUCAGAAUCAUUGAAAGUAUUAAUACUUUGAGCUUUUAUCUGGGCAAUGGUGGCUCACGCUGUGAGUCUCAGCACUGGGGAGGCAGAGGCAGUGGCAGAUAGAGCUCUGGAGUUUGAGACCAGCCUGGUUGAUAGAGUGAGUUCCAGGACAGCCAGGGCUGUUACACAGACAAGAAGCUCUGUUGUCUCAAAAAACAAUGC
rnacentral:lncRNA from 1 species